UCUCAAAAUUAUUGGCGGUUUGUGGUGGUCGUUGUUCUGAAGUGAUGCAAGUUUCAAGUUGAGGUCUUCGGAUCCCAUUAGCAAGGACGGCUGCAACAACAUCGCUUUAUUGGGGUCUAUCCCGGAACAGUGGCAUCCCCACCAAACUGGUGGCAGCAACUGUCACCUACUUCACACCCUUGCUCAAGCUCCACGUGACAAAGGAGCAUUGAAGCUUCCAGCUGUCCAGCAAAUGCAGAUGGUGCAGUUACAUGAAGGAUACUGCGACUGCUAACUUCUGUGUCUAUAAGAUGGAUAAACUGUAAUCUGAAGUGCCCACCAGGAUCCUUGCAAGCCAGCAUGUGUUUGAAUUCCAUUUGUGCCCUCGGACCUUCUUGCGAACGUUCAAGCUGAAGCAACACCUGCACAUUCACGCAGCCAAAAGGCUAUUUCAGUGGCCUUCAUGCUCUGAGAGCUUCUCGCAAAAAGUUAUUCUAAAGCAACACCUGUGCAUCCAUAGGGGCGAGAUGCUAUUUCAUUGCCAUUUGUGCCCUCAGAGCUUCUCACAAAAGAGUCAUCUGAAUCGGCACCUGCGCACCCAUACAGGCGAGAGGCCAUUUCAGUGCCCUUCGUGCCCUCAAAGCUUCUCACAGAAGAGUCAUCGGAACCAGCACCUGCACACCCACACAGGCGAGAAGCCAUUUCAGUGUCCUGCGUGCCCUCAAAGCUUCUCGCGAAAGAGUACUCUGAACGAGCACCUGCGCACCCACACAGGUGAGAGGCCAUUUCAGUGCCCUUCGUGUCCUCAAAGCUUCUCACGAAAGGGUAAUCUGAACCAGCACCUGCGCACCCACACAGGCAAGAAGCCAUAUCAGUGUCCUGUGUGCCCUCAAAGCUUCUCAGAUAGGAGUAAUCUGAACCAGCACCUGCGUACCCACACAGGCGAGAGGCCAUUUGAAUGCCCUUCGUGCCCUCAGAGCUUCUCACGGAAGAGUUCUCUGGACCAACACCUGCACACCCACACAGGUGAGAAGCCAUUUCAGUGCCCUUCGUGCCCUCAGAGCUUCUCACUAAAGGGUACUCUGAACCGGCACCUGCACACCCACACAGGCGAGAAGCCAUUUCAGUGCCCUGCGUGCCCUCAAAGCUUCUCACUAAAGAGUACCUUGAACCAGCACCUGCGCACCCACACAGGCGAGAGGCCAUUUCAGUGCCCUUUAUGCCCUCAAAGCUUCUCACAAAAGAGUCAUCUGAACCGGCACCUGCGACUUGCACAGGUGAGAGGCCACUUCAGUGCCUUGCAUGCCCUCUGAGCUUCUCACAGAAGAAUGCUCUGAACCAACAUCUGCACACCCACGCAGGAGAGAAGCCAUUUCAGUGUCCUUUAUGCCCUCAAAGCUUCUCACAAAAGUUGACAUGGAAGGUACACCUGCACUUCCACUGAUGUGAGAGACUUGUUUCAGAGCCGUUCAUGUCCCGAGAGCUUCUUGUGGAAGUCUGCAUUAAACCAACAGCCACGCAUACACACAGGUGGGUGGCCAUUUCAGUGCCCUGCAUGCCCUCAGCAAUCCUCAAAAGUCCUGACUGAAGGAUCAUGUGUGCAUCCAGUCAGCGAGAGGCUGUGCCAGUGUUCUUCAUGUACUCGGAGGCACUCAUGAAAGUUCGCACUGAACUUCCACUAAUGUGAGAAGCUGUUUCAGGGCCCUUCAUGUCCUGAGAACUUGUUGUGGAAGUCUGCACUGAACCGACACCUGCUCGUCUACACAAAGUACUAGUGAAGGAUCGCCUGUGUAUCCACUCAGGGAGACGCCAUUUCAGGGCUCUUUAUUUCCUCAGAGUUACUUGCGGAAGUUCACACUGAACUGACACAUGUACGACCCACAUAAGCGAGAAGCCAUUUCAGUGCCACUUAUUCAGUCAAACCUUCGCACAUAAAAGCCACCUCAAUAGGUGCCCUGCCACCACAAGUGUACCAGACACAUGCAGUGCAGCAGCGCUGAGUUGUGCACACCUCAUUGUUCCGUUUUGCUUUUCAUAUUUUCCUCAGUUUUUUCAUGGAAGCUCAGUGUAUGUGUAUGCCUGUCGUUUUAUACUAGUAUGAAUCAUUGUAGGUCUUCAUUUUUCAUUAUGCUGUUUAAGCUCUUUGUCUUGAAGACAAGCACUUCUUUCUGCAUUAAAGUGUUUAACUGCUCAUUACUAAAUGAGUUCGUUUCAGCACACUAAAUAAAAUUUAAGAUUGGGUUUUGUUAAUUAUUGAUAUUUCAAUACUUGUACUAAUAGCAUCUAACGUUUCAAUUCAUUUGCAUUUAUUGUGCUGAACACUUCAAGAGAAUUUGAGUGGCUAUUUACUGAUGCUGUGUAAUGCAGUUAAAACAACCUUUUCUCAGGAAUUGAAAUUAUGCAAUUAUGUGCUUUUUUUGAUUCCUACUAGAUUCAAUUGGUUUCAGUGAUACUAAAUGCACUGGUACGAAAUUUUUUUGCUCGUAGAUCCGUCCAGACCUUUAGAAACCUUUAAAAUUGCUUCAUAAUAAAACAUUGUUCUCAUGGA